GGCGGAUGUAGCCAAGGGGUUAAGGCAGGA
rnacentral:tRNA from 1 species